AGUGGCGGACGGGUGAGUAACGCGUGAGAAUCUGGCCUCAGGACGGGGAUAACAGUUGGAAACGACUGCUAAAACCCGAUGUGCCGAAAGGUGAAAGUAUUAAUAGCCUGAGGAUGAGCUCGCGUCUGAUUAGCUAGUUGGUUGGGUAAAGGCUGACCAAGGCGACGAUCAGUAGCUGGUCUGAGAGGAUGAUCAGCCACACUGGGACUGAGACACGGCCCAGACUCCUACGGGAGGCAGCGGUGGGGAAUUUUCCGCAAUGGGGGCAACCCUGACGGAGCAAUACCGCGUGAGGGACGAAGGUUUUUGGAUUGUAAACCUCUUUUCUCAGGGAAGAACACAAUGACGGUACCUGAGGAAUAAGCAUCGGCUAACUCCGUGCCAGCAGCCGCGGUAAUACGGAGGAUGCAAGCGUUAUCCGGAAUUAUUGGGCGUAAAGCGUCCGCAGGUGGCAAUGUAAGUCAGUUGUCAAAGCGCGAGGCUUAACUUCGUACAGGCGAUUGAAACUACAUAGCUAGAGUAUGGUAGGGGUAGCGGGAAUUCCUAGUGUAGCGGUGAAAUGCGUAGAUAUUAGGAAGAACACCAGCGGCGAAAGCGCGCUACUGGGCCAUAACUGACACUGAGGGACGAAAGCUAGGGGAGCGAAAGGGAUUAGAUACCCCUGUAGUCCUAGCCGUAAACGAUGAGAACUAGGUGUUGC
rnacentral:rRNA from 1 species